CGGGAGGUGCAAGCGCUAUCCGGAUUUAUUGGGUUUAAAGGGUCCGCAGGCGGACUGAUAAGUCAGUGGUGAAAUCUCAUAGCUUAACUAUGAAACUGCCAUUGAUACUGUUGGUCUUGAGUAAUUUGAGGUAGCUGGAAUAAGUAGUGUAGCGGUGAAAUGCAUAGAUAUUACUUAGAACACCAAUUGCGAAGGCAGGUUACCAAAUUUACUGACGCUGAGGGACGAAAGCGUGGGGUAGCGAACAGGAUU
rnacentral:rRNA from 1 species